GACCAUGGUUCCCGUCUCGCCUUCAACCACACACCCCAGUGACUUGUCUCCUGAAGGUUCCACCACCUUCCAGUCCCCCACAGGACAGUGAAUAAACCAUGGCCACGUGGACCUCUGGAGUACAUAUCCAGCCCUGGCAAUAGUGAUAUCUUAGGCAAAGACUGAAAGGUAUCAAAUCAUAGAAGAAGACAGUAAGAGAAUGAAAGUUAGAAUAAUUUAGCAUGAUAAGGACAUCGUCAGCAUCAGAAAAACAAUGGAUACUAAAUAGAUCUUCCAGCCUUCAAAGCAGUUAGGCUCUGUAACCCCACUGGAUUUUGGCCAGUAGAGUGGACUAUGGUGGCAGUCUCCAGACUGAAGAUGGCUUGGAACACGCUGCGAUGAGAAGUACUUAUGCUCGGGGGCUAAGAGAAGUUCCUUAUAGACCUGACUGAGGACGGCGCUAGAGGAACAGUUAUGCAGAAAGGCUGCAAAGGGCAUCUCACAGGCUGGGUCUGGCAUAUGAAGCUUGUUGCAAUCAGAGCUAAUAUCUCCUGGAGUGGCCAUGGGUCACCUGAUGUAGCUGGGGUGACUGCAAGCCCUCUGGGGUCACCAAGAAAAAUGAAAAAUAAAAAGUAUCUCUUGGAGAG